rnacentral:pre_miRNA from 1 species
UGACCCAUCAGAGUGACUGUGAAAUGUUGGUUAAUUUCAUAUCACAGCCAGCUUUGAUGAGCUCAG